rnacentral:rRNA from 1 species
UACGGAAGGCAACAGUGGGGAAUAUUGCACAAUGGGCGCAAGCCUGAUGCAGCCAUGCCGCGUGUAUGAAGAAGGCCCUUCGGGUUGUAAAGUACUUUCAGUCGUGAGGAAGGUGUUAAGGUUAAUAACCUUAGCAAUUGACGUUAGCGACAGAAGGAGCACCGGCUAACUCCGUGCCAGCAGCCGCGGUAAUACGGAGGGUGCGAGCGUUAAUCGGAAUUACUGGGCGUAAAGGGCACGCAGGCGGUUAAUUAAGUUGGAUGUGAAAUCCCCGGGCUUAACCUGGGAAUGGCAUUCAAGACUGGUUAGCUAGAGUCUUGUAGAGGGGGUAGAAUUCCAUGUGUAGCGGUGAAAUGCGUAGAGAUGUGGAGGAAUACCGGUGGCGAAAGGCGGCCCCUGGACAAAGACUGACGCUCAUGUGCGAAAAGCGUGGGGAGCAAACAGGGAUUAGAUACC